rnacentral:rRNA from 1 species
GUGGGGAAUAUUGGACAAUGGGGGGAACCCUGAUCCAGCCAUGCCGCGUGUGUGAAGAAGGCCUUUUGGUUGUAAAGCACUUUAAGCGAGGAGGAGGCUACCGAGAUUAAUACUCUUGGAUAGUGGACGUUACUCGCAGAAUAAGCACCGGCUAACUCUGUGCCAGCAGCCGCGGUAAUACAGAGGGUGCAAGCGUUAAUCGGAUUUACUGUGCGUAAAGCGCGCGUAGGUGGCCAAUUAAGUCAAAUGUGAAAUCCACGAGCUUAACUUGGGAAUUGCAGUCGAUACUGGUUGGCUAGAGUAUGGGAGAGGAUGGUAGAAUUCCAGGUGUAGCGGUGAAAUGCGUAGAGAUCUGGAGGAAUACCGAUGGCGAAGGCAGCCAUCUGGCCUAAUACUGACACUGAGGUGCGAAAGCAUGGGGAGCAAACAGGAUUAGAUACCCGAGUAGUCC